GACGAACGCUGGCGGCGCGCCUAACACAUGCAAGUCGAACGAGCGAGAGAGAGCUUGCUUUCUCGAGCGAGUGGCGAACGGGUGAGUAACGCGUGAGGAACCUGCCUCAAAGAGGGGGACAACAGUUGGAAACGACUGCUAAUACCGCAUAAGCCCACGACCCGGCAUCGGGUAGAGGGAAAAGGAGCCAUCCGCUUUGAGAUGGCCUCGCGUCCGAUUAGCUAGUUGGUGAGGUAACGGCCCACCAAGGCGACGAUCGGUAGCCGGACUGAGAGGUUGAACGGCCACAUUGGGACUGAGACACGGACCAGAAUCCUACGGGAGGCAGCAGUGGGGAAUAUUGCACAAUGGGGGAAACCCUGAUGCAGCGACGCCGCGUGGAGGAAGAAGGUCUUAGGAUUGUAAACUCCUGUUGUUGAGGAAGAUAAUGACGGUACUCAACAAGGAAGUGACGGCUAACUACGUG
rnacentral:rRNA from 1 species